rnacentral:rRNA from 1 species
GUAGGGGGCAAGCGUUGUCCGGAUUUAUUGGGCGUAAAGAGCGUGUAGGCGGCCAGACAGGUCCGUUGUGAAAACUGGAGGCUCAACCUCCAGCCGUCGAUGGAAACCGUCUGGCUAGAGUCCGGAAGAGGAGAGUGGAAUUCCCGGUGUAGCGGUGAAAUGCGCAGAUAUCGGGAGGAACACCCGUGGCGAAAGCGGCUCUCUGGGACGGUACUGACGCUGAGACGCGAAAGCGUGGGGAGCGAACAGGAUUAGAUACCCUGGUAGUCCACGCCGUAAACGAUGGGCGCUAGGUGCGGGCGGUGUCGACUCCGUCCGUGCCGAAGCUAACGCAUUAAGCGCCCCGCCUGGGGAGUACGGCCGCAAGGCUAAA